rfam:Beta vulgaris subsp. vulgaris Bvchr6.sca027.con0067.1, whole genome shotgun sequence.
AUACUUACCUGGACGGGGUCGAUGGGUGAUCAUAAAGGCUCAUGGCCUAGGUAGGUAGCCUCCAUUGCACUUGAGGAGGGGUGCCCACCUAACAUCUUCCCAAAGUGGAAGAGUGUACGUCAUAAUUUCUGUUAAUGGGGUCUGCGUUCGCGCAACCCCUAA